GCGCAUUUGGUCCGUGCGCAUUUGAUCUAUGUCCGUUUCACUCAGCCUGCUGUGUCCGUUUAUUACUGUGCGCAUCUGGGACUCACUCCAAUUUUCGCUAUUUAUAAAAAACAACUGUGUGGGACAACUGCUGAAUCUCUCGAUGAAUCAAGAGCAAAGAAAUUUAGAACUAAUGAUGAAAAAAAUAAAGAAUUUACAAGUAUUUAAACAAAUCAAUGUCAAUUUGCAACUGUAGAAAAUAACAAUGAAAACAAUAAUAAAUCCACAAACAUUGAUGAACAUCCUGAAUAUGAGACUAAUUUAUUUAAGAAUAACAUAACUAAUAAUGAUAGUACAAACGCAUCUGCAGCAAUAUCCUCAACAUGUAAUUUAACAUCAAUUACAUUUGAGUGUGCUCUCGAACAAAUAAAAAUAUUAGAACAAGAACUUCACAAUAAAAAAACAGAAGUAAACCAAUUGCAAGACAAACUGGAGAAUGCCGAUAAAGUUCUUCGUACUCUUAACAGAUCAAAUACGAUUCUUAUGAAGCGUAUUAGAAGACUCAGGAGCACGAAAAGACUACGAAUUGAAAAAAGUGUGUUGCAAUCAAGAGAAUUAGUUCAAAAAGUUUUCAAUGAUGAUCAAAUUGAAUGGCUAUAGUCUAGCAAACGACGUGUAUAUACUUGGUCUAAAGAAACUAUUAAAAAGCUCUCCGAAUAAAUCUUGUACCAAUUCUGGUUAUAAAGAACUUAUUAAGCAAAAUAUUCCAUUACCAUCAACUCGUACUUUAAGACAAAGUCUUGAAAAUGUAGCCUUUACUCCAAGAAUAUUAGAUGAUAUUUUUGAUGCUAUGAAAAGUAAAGUUCAAUUAUUCGAAGACCAGAGACAAUGUCAUUGCAUGAUUGGCGUUGACGAAAUGUCUCUUACUCCUGGUGAACAACUUGAUCCUUGUACAAAUUCCAUUGAGAAACAGUUCCGGCAACAUAUGCUUUAGUAUUUCUUCUUGGCGUUAUCUUUUAUCGAUGGAAACAAGUUGUAGCUUGAAUUAACACCUGAUGGAUUUAAUGGUACACAUUUGAAACUUAUUAUUGAAAAACUUAUUGAAAAAGCUGAAAACAUAGGUCUUCGUGUGCAUAGCGUUAUAUCUGACAUGCUACGUGUACUUUUCUGAAAAUUGUGUGAUAAAAUCAGCUCUAGAAAUAUUGAAGUUACACUGCUACAACUCUGGUCCGUUAUUUUCUGAAGAAUCAAAACUGUUUCUCUACAGAAAAAAUGUGCAGUCAAAGUCAGUAAGUGUUUGCGCAAUGCCACAACUCUGAUUCUUUAUUUUUAAAAGAAUCGGAGCUGCUACAAGCUAUACAGAAGGAAUGUGCGAUUGCAUCUGAAUCAUCAAGUGUUUGAAAUUAAAGCGUUACAUGAAACUUAA
rnacentral:misc_RNA from 1 species